UGCAGAGGGGGCAAGCGUUGUUCGGAAUUACUGGGCGUAAAGGGCGCGUAGGCGGCCUGUUAAGUCGAACGUGAAAUCCCCGGGCUCAACCCGGGAACUGCGUCCGAUACUGGCAGGCUUGAAUUCGGGAGAGGGAUGUGGAAUUCCAGGUGUAGCGGUGAAAUGCGUAGAUAUCUGGAGGAACACCGAUGGCGAAGGCAGGUCGCUGGGCCGAUACUGACGCUGAGGAGCGAAAGCGUGGGGAGCGAACAGG
rnacentral:rRNA from 1 species